CUACGGGAGGCACCAGUGGGGAAUAUUGGACAAUGGGGGAAACCCUGAUCCAGCAAUGCCGCGUGUGUGAAGAAGGCCUGCGGGUUGUAAAGCACUUUCGGUUGGGAGGACUGCUUCUAGCACUAAUAUUUUUGGAAGUUGACGUUACCUUCAGAAGAAGCACCGGCUAACUCCGUGCCAGCAGCCGCGGUAAUACGGGGGGUGCAAGCGUUAAUCGGAAUUACUGGGCGUAAAGCGCGCGUAGGCGGCUAGAUCAGUCGGGUGUGAAAGCCCCGGGCUUAACCUGGGAACUGCAUCCGAUACUGUCUAGCUUGAGUACAGGAGAGGAGAGUGGAAUUCCACAUGUAGCGGUGAAAUGCGUAGAUAUGUGGAGGAACACCAAUGGCGAAGGCAGCUCUCUGGCCUGAUACUGACGCUGAGGUGCGAAAGCGUGGGGAGCAAACAGGAUUAGAUACCCCUGUAGUC
rnacentral:rRNA from 1 species